AUAAACAAAAACAAUGUUUCAAAGAACAACCGGCGAUGGGAUAAGGACGAGCGAAAUUUUACGAACCGAAUCAAACCGUUCGGAUGAAUAGUACAACCAAAACUUCGCUCAUGUUUUUGGCUAUGGAGAAUUCGAUAGUAAAUUCACGAAACAAGACGUUUACUCUUCAUCCGAUUCUGUCGCCAACUCUAUUAUUAUUUCUAUAGAUUUCUUCACCUCUACUCUUUAUUCAUCAUUCUUCUCCUAGAGUUCUUACAAAUUUCUGUAUUGGCUGGCCAACAGAAUUCGAAUCGCGUCGACAAUCGUUUGCAUUACAGAGCAUGGGGAAGCCGUCUUGGCCAUCGGAGGAAGAGUUAAAUGGAAUCAAGACGAUUGUUUCGGACAUGUCCAAGAGAAGCAAGGAGGACGUUCGCGUAGUUGUCUCUCCCUAUCGCAUUUGUCCACUGGGAGCUCACAUUGAUCAUCAGGGUGGAAAUGUUUCAGCGAUGGCCAUAAACAAGGGAGUGCUUUUAGGAUUUGUUCCUUCUGGCGAUGUUCAGGUUGUACUCCGUUCAGCUCAGUUCAAAGGAGAUGUGAAUUUCAGAGUUGAUGAAAAGCUCUAUCCAAACCUCUGUAGUAACAAGAAGGAAGGGACUAACGCAAAUGGCCUUGCUAAAUUGCAAGAGGACAAUAACUGGGGACGGUAUGCUAGAGGAGCAGUAUAUGCACUACAAGAAAAAGAACAUUGUCUUUCUCAGGGGAUAAUAGGAUAUAUUUGUGGUUCUGAUGGUCUUGACAGUUCAGGACUCAGCUCUUCUGCAGCUGUUGGAUUGGCUUAUUUGUUAGCGCUGGAAAAUGCUAAUAAUUUAACAAUAUCUCCAACAGAUAAUAUCGAAUAUGAUAGGCUAAUUGAAAAUGGAUACUUGGGUCUGAGAAAUGGCAUACUGGACCAAUCAGCAAUAUUACUUUCAAGCUAUGGUUGUCUAUUGCACAUGAACUGCAAGACUAAGGAUUUCAAGCUUAUUCGCCCACUCGAUAUGGGAAACAGUCUAAAAUCUGAGAAGCAGAAGGAAUACCAAAUUUUAUUAGCUUUUUCAGGAUUGAAGCAGGCUUUGACAAAUAACCCUGGAUAUAAUCACCGCGUUGCAGAGUGUCAAGAGGCUGCAAAAAUUCUUCUGAAUGCAUCUGGAAAUUCUCAUAUGGAGCCACUCCUUUGUAAUGUUGAACAGGAAGCUUAUAAAGCUCAUAAGGUGAUGCAAUCAGGGAAAGAAAAGAUUCAUGUUCCAAACGUUAUGCUUUUUGAGGAAACUUGGCUUAAAGAUUAUAAAAGAUGGAUUGGAAGACUUUCUUGUAGAUCCUUAGGCAUGGGCUUCUUUCCCCGGCCAGGCUGUCCUUAUAAGUUACUGUUUCCUAUUAAAGGAAAAAAGAGACUAUAAAAUUAGCAUACUCGGCGCACUCUAUUGUAAAAAUAUAUGUUAUGGGUAGAGGUGACGUUCGAUACAGUUAUCUAUUAUCUCCCUCACUCUAUCAAUAGGAAUUCAAACAUUUCUCUCUAUAUUCUACAUUAUGAGAUGAAAUGCAUCAAGGAUGUAAAGGUCUGCUGGUUUCAGUGAGUCCCAGCUAGAACCAAACUUGGCAAAAAGAGCAGAGCAUUAUUUCUCAGAAAACAUGCGGGUUUUACAAGGACUCGAAGCCUGGGCUUCAGGAAGGUUGGAAGACUUUGGAAAACUCAUUGCGGCUUCUGGGCGAAGUUCAAUUGUAAAC